GAUGAGCGCUGGCGGCGUGCCUAAUACAUGCAAGUCGAGCGGUAAGGCCUCUUCGGAGGUACACGAGCGGCGGACGGCUGAGUAACACGUAGGAACGUACCCCAAAGUGAGGGAUAACUGCUCGAAAGAGUAGCUAAUACCGCAUGUGAUCCACGGAUUAAAGCUUUAUGCGCUUUGGGAACGGCCUGCGUUCGAUUAGUUUGUUGGUAGUGUAAUGGACUACCAAGGCGACGAUCGAUAGCUGGUCUGAGAGGAUGAUCAGCCAGACUGGGACUGAGACACGGCCCAGACUCCUACGUGAGGCAGCAGUAGGGAAUUUUCCACAAUGGGCGAAAGCCUGAUGGAGCAACGCCGCGUGCAGGAUGAAUGCCUUAGGGUUGUAAACUGCUUUUAUUAGUGACGAUUAUGACGGUAACUAAUGAAUAAGGACCUGCUAACUACGUGCCAGCCGCCGCCGUAA
rnacentral:rRNA from 1 species